CCUACGGGAGGCAGCAGUAGGGAAUCUUCCACAAUGGGCGAUAGCCUGAUGGAGCCACGCAGCGUGAAUGAAGAAGGCCCUCGGAUCGUAAAACCCUGUUGUUAGAGAAGAAAGUGCGUGAGAGUAACUGUUCACGUUUCGACGGUAUCUAACCAGAAAGCCACGGCUAACUACGUGCCAGCCGCCGCGGCAAUACGUAGGUGCCAAGCGUUAUCCGGAUUUAUUGGGUGUAAAGGGAACGCAGACGGUCUUUUAAGUCUGAAGUGAAAGCUUUCGGCUUAACCGGAGUAGUGCAUUGUAUACUGGCAGACUUGAGUACAGUAGAGGAGAGUGGAACUCCAUGUGUAGCGGUGAAAUGCGUAGAUAUAUGGAAGAACACCAGUUGCGAAGGCGGCUCUCUGGUCUGUAACUGACGCUGAGGUUCGAAAGCGUGGGUAGCAAACAGGAUUAGAUACCCGAGUAGUC
rnacentral:rRNA from 1 species